CAUCGCUCUUCGACCCCCAAGCAUGAAGAGUCCUGCCUGCCCAGUGACUGAAAAGUUAAACGGCCGCGGUAUCUUGACCGUGCGAAGGUAGCAUAAUUAUUUGUCUCCUAAAUAGAGACUGGCAUGAAUGGCAAGACGGGGCUCUACUGUCUCCUUAUCUCCCACCUGAAAUUCACAUCUUUGUGAAGAGGCAAAGAUAAAAUCGCUAGACGAGAAGACCCUAUCGAGCUUAAACUAAAGCAGAAGCUUAAAUUUCCCUCACCAUUCAUCUAAUCAAAUUCACUUAAUGAAGAACUGAGAAAUCGUUUUUUGUGGGAGUUUUAGUUGGGGCAACUGCGGAGAAGAAAAUCCUCCGCUAUCAUCUAAGCUUUUAGGAAAACUAUCCUAAAGCAAGAACAGCAAGUGAUCCACCCUGGUGAUCAAAGGAACAAGUUACCGUAGGGAUAACAGCGUAAUCUUUUUCGAGAGUUCAUAUUGACAAAAAGGUUUGCGACCUCGAUGUUGGAUCGGGACAUCCUAAUAGUGCAGAAGCUUUUAAGGGUUGGUCUGUUCGACCAUUAAAGUCCUAC
rnacentral:rRNA from 1 species